GAUGAAGAACGCAGCGAAAUGCGAUAAGUAAUGUGAAUUGCAGAAUCCAGUGAAUCAUCGAAUCUUUGAACGCACAUUGCGCCCGCCAGCAUUCUGGCGGGCAUGCCUGUCCGAGCGUCAUUUCAACCCUCAAGCACUGCUUGGCGUUGGGGCGCUACGCGCUGAGCGUAGGCCCCUAAAAUCAGUGGCGGACCCGCUGUGGCUCCGGGCGUAGUAGCGACACCUCGCCCUGGGACCGCGGCGCGUUCCGGCCGUUAAACCCCCCACUAUAUCGAAGGUUGACCUCGGAUCAGGUAGGAAUACCCGCUGAACUUAAGCAUAUCAAUAAGCGGAGGA
rnacentral:misc_RNA from 1 species